rnacentral:rRNA from 1 species
GAUGAACGCUGGCGGCGUGCCUAUACAUGCAAGUCGAGCGAACAGACGAGGAGCUUGCUCCUCUGACGUUAGCGGCGGACGGGUGAGUAACACGUGGAUAACCUACCUAUAAGACUGGGAUAACUUCGGGAAACCGGAGCUAAUACCGGAUAAUAUAUUGAACCGCAUGGUUCCAUAGUGAAAGACGGUUUUGCUGUCACUUAUAGAUGGAUCCGCGCCGCAUUAGCUAGUUGGUAAGGUAACGGCUUACCAAGGCAACGAUGCGUAGCCGACCUGAGAGGGUGAUCGGCCACACUGGAACUGAGACACGGUCCAGACUCCUACGGGAGGCAGCAGUAGGGAAUCUUCCGCAAUGGGCGAAAGCCUGACGGAGCAACGCCGCGUGAGUGAUGAAGGUCUUCGGAUCGUAAAACUCUGUUAUUAGGGAAGAACAAAUGUGUAAGUAACUAUGCACGUCUUGACGGUACCUAAUCAGAAAGCCACGGCUAACUACGUG